GUCGAACGCUGGCGGCGUGCCUAAUACAUGCAAGUAGAACGCAGUUGCGAACGGGUGAGUAACGCGUAGGUAACUGCCUCAUAGCGGGGGAUAACUAUUGGAAACGAUAGCUAAUACCGCAUACUGUGAGAUGGACCUGCGUUGUAUUAGCUAGUUGGUGAGGUAAAGGCUCACCAAGGCGACGAUACACAGCCGACCUGAGAGGGUGAUGGGGCACAAUUGGACUGGGACACGGGCCAGAAGCCUACGGGAGGCAGCAGUAGGGAAUCUUCGGCAAUGGACGGAAGGCUGAACGAGCAACGCCGCGUGAAUGAAGAAGGUUUUCGGAUCGUGAAGCUCUGUUGUUAGAGAAGAGAUAACUAACCAGAAAAGGACGGCUAACUACAUGCCAGCAACCGCGGUAGUUC
rnacentral:rRNA from 1 species